GGCCCGUUGGUCCAGGGGCAUGAUUCUCGCUUUGGGUGCGAGAGGUCCCGGGUUCAAAUCCCGGACGGGCCC
rnacentral:tRNA from 1 species